GGGCUAUGAUGAUAAUUUUCAUUUCUCGAUACUGAUAUAACGUUGUGUUUUUAUGCGGACCCGCAAAAGCUAACCAUAUAAUUUUGAUGACUGCGUUUGUGCGUGUCUGAGCCUU